rnacentral:rRNA from 1 species
UGGGGAAUCUUGCGCAAUGGGCGAAAGCCUGACGCAGCGACGCCGCGUGGGUGAUGAAGGCCUUCGGGUUGUAAAGCCCUGUGGAGGGGGACGAAUAAGUCGGAGUUAAUACCUCGCGAUGAUGACGGUACCCCUUUAGCAAGCACCGGCUAACUCUGUGCCAGCAGCCGCGGUAAGACAGAGGGUGCAAACGUUGUUCGGAAUUACUGGGCGUAAAGCGCGUGUAGGCGGCUUGGCAAGUCGGGUGUGA